GUGCCCGCGCGUCAUCGGCAUCCAGGGCCUCACGACAGUCAAGUAGUGGUGGAGCUGGAGGGCGCCAUUGGGUCCAGACCUUAGGCGGGGUGCGACGGAGGCUGCAGGUUGUGGCGUGUGUGUGUGGGGGGGGGGGGCCAAGCCUCCAGACACCCAGCGGCCUGGGCAGGACAGCUCAAUGCCCUCAGGACCCGUGUACAUGCAUGGAAGAUCGAAUGAUAUUUAAUGGCACUCGGGAGUGAGCAACAGUCUUGCGGCCGCAGGCUAGGUACUUC
rnacentral:lncRNA from 1 species